rnacentral:rRNA from 1 species
AGCGCGUACCAUACGGAGCGGCAGACGGGAGAGUACACGUGGCGCAACGUGCCCUUCANUUCGGAACAACCCAGGGUAAACUUGGGCUAAUACCGGAUACGUCCGUAAGGAGAAAGAUUUAUCGCUGAAGGAUCGGCCCGCGUAUGAUUAGCUAGUUGGUGAGGUAACGGCUCACCAAGGCGACGAUCAGUAGCUGGUCUGAGAGGAUGAUCAGCCUCACUGGGACUGAGACACGGCCCAGACUCCUACGGGAGGCAGCAGUGGGGAAUAUUGGACAAUGGGCGCAAGCCUGAUCCAGCCAUGCCGCGUGGAUGAUGAAGGCCCUAGGGUUGUAAAGUCCUUUCGGCGGGGAAGAUAAUGACGGUACCCGCAGAAGAAGCCCCGGCUAACUUCGUGCCAGCAGCCGCGGUAAU